CACAAAAACAAAUCCGAGUUUUAGGGUUUCUUUUCCUCAAAAUUUUGAUUUCUUUGUUACUUCUCUGUCGAUUCGUUUCUAUCCCAUUCUCCGUUUCAAAUCCAGAAACUAGGGUUUCGCAAUGGCGACAGCGACAAGUCAGGGUCGUGAUCCGCUGUUCGUGUCAAAAUCUGUUCGCGCGGCAGAGAUAAAGAUUAGGUUUGCGGAUAUCAUUGUCAAGUCGAGUAGUAACAAGCCUGAGGCAAUGAUGAAGAUGAGAAGAGAGAAGCAGAGGAAGCUUCUUCAAGAAGAAAAAGCAAGAAUGAGAAUGAGACAAGAGGCAAGGCUUGCGGUGCUGAAGGUGGAAGAAGAAGAAGCAAGAUCCGAUUGUAGAUCUGAGGGAUGACAAACUGUUCUUGAUUGACCACCAUGUUACAAGUGCUCAGAUAUCCAAAGGAAUCAGAGCAUAUCACUCUUGCAUAGUAGACAUGAAUAACGUAAACAAGGUAAAAUGGCUAGAUGAUACUUCUGUUGUUGGCUCUAUCUUUGGUCUUCCUUUGAUUUUAGUGAUUUUAGUGGUUCUCUGUUGUAUAGAGAAAGUUUGUGAAAGGGCCAAUGAUAUAAGAGAGACGAAGCAAGCAACAUCUAAGAUGAGAAGGAGAUAAGAGUGUGAACCAUUGCUGAUGAGUUCUGAUCUGGUGUUUAAUAAGACACCGUGUUAAAUAUUGAAAAGUGUUGACUUUAAGGUGUGAACACAUAUCGAGAUCUGGAUUCAAAAUGUAUCUUCUAUAUAUUUUUAUGAAAACUCAUUCUAAUAAAAUAAUAGAGUUUUGAGUCUCUUUCUAGUCUCUCUCUAGUUCUUUAUUCUCUCUAAUCUUAUAAUCUCUUUAAUCUCAUACAAAACAUUCAUAUUAAACCUUAAUCACACUAUAAACACACAAAAGUGUUUAUGGUAUCAGAGCCAGGUUCUUCAAAAAGGAGAGAGUGUGGUUUCUGUUUCAUAAUUAAAAAAAAAAAAUCUGAAUGUUC